AAUGAACGCUGGCGGCAUGCUUAAUACAUGCAAGUCGAGCGAGCGGCGGACGGGUGAGUAAUGUCUAGGAAACUGCCUGAUGGAGGGGGUUAACUACUGGAAACGGUAGCUAAUACCGCAUACCUGACGAUGUGACCAGAUGGGAUUUGCUAGUAGGUGGUGUAAUGGCUCACCAAGGCAACGAUCCCUAGCUGGUCUGAGAGAGUGACUGGCCACACUGGAACUGAGACACGGGCCAGACUCCUACGGGAGGCAGCAGUGGGUAAUAUUGCACAAUGGGCGCAAGCCUGAUGCAGCCAUGCCGCGUGUGUGAAGAAGGUCUUCGGAUUGUAAAGCUCUUUCAGCGGGGAGGCGUUACUCGCACAGGAAGCACCGGCUAACUCCGUGCCAGCAGCCGCGGUAAUAC
rnacentral:rRNA from 1 species